CUCUAUACAGGAGCAGGACACCUCACUCAAGCAUCCGGCCUGCAGGUGCCAAUGAUGUCCCUCUAGCGGCGGCAACACUGUGGCAGCAACACCACGAUGCACCUGUAACCCCUAUGAACAUGUCUCA